rnacentral:rRNA from 1 species
GAUGAACGCUAGCUACAGGCUUAACACAUGCAAGUCGAGGGGCAGCAUGAACUUAGCUUGCUAAGUUUGAUGGCGACCGGCGCACGGGUGAGUAACACGUAUCCAACCUGCCGAUGACUCGGGGAUAGCCUUUCGAAAGAAAGAUUAAUACCCGAUGGCAUAGUUCUUCCGCAUGGUAGAACUAUUAAAGAAUUUCGGUCAUCGAUGGGGAUGCGUUCCAUUAGGUUGUUGGCGGGGUAACGGCCCACCAAGCCUUCGAUGGAUAGGGGUUCUGAGAGGAAGGUCCCCCACAUUGGAACUGAGACACGGUCCAAACUCCUACGGGAGGCAGCAGUGAGGAAGAUUGGUCAAUGGACGAGAGUCUGAACCAGCCAAGUAGCGUGAAGGAUGACUGCCCUAUGGGUUGUAAACUUCUUUUAUACGGGAAUAAAGUGAGGCACGUGUGCCUUUUUGUAUGUACCGUAUGAAUAAGAAUCGGCUAACUCCGUG